UCCUUGGUAGUCCCAUAGUUAAGACUCAGCACUCCCAAUGCAGAGGCCUGGGUUCAAUCCCUGGUCAGGGAA
rfam:Ovis aries breed Texel chromosome 7, whole genome shotgun sequence.